rnacentral:tRNA from 1 species
AUCUUUCUAGUAUAAAUAUUAGUACGAGUGACUUCCAAUCACUCAAUCUUGGUUAAUUCCCAAGGAAAGAUA